rnacentral:lncRNA from 1 species
GCAAAAUUAAGGUGCAGAAUUUAAUCACUCAGAAGAUGGGAAAUUCAAGGCUAUGGUAUCCAUGGCAACUACUAUUUGUCCACAGUGUAUGGAACAUUAACCUUAACUCCAUAUGCGGAAACAGAAGGAAAACAUGGGACAUGUCAAGUAUAAAUGCAUAUUUCAUGCAGCAGGUGCUCUGCAAUGGCUUCUGUGGAAGUGAUAAUCAAAUUUCCUGACUGCAAACCAGGUACUGGAAGAGAGCUGACACUGAAGCUCUGAUCAUCUCAGGAGAAAGGUGAGAAUGGAGUGCAGCAGUUUGGCCACACCUCUGCGCUGCAGAGUUGGCCUAGGCCAUAAAAUCACAGGCAAGGUCACCCAGCAACCAACGUUCCACGUCACUGCAGCAAUAAAGCCAACUUACAUUCAACUUAUUGCUUGGGAGAGCCCACAGUAUGAUGCAGUUUUUCUCUCUGCCUCAGAAAACAGGUAGGAAUAACAUUUACGUCUGCAGGAGAAGAGCUGUUAAAUGGAAUGGGC